rnacentral:rRNA from 1 species
GACGAACGCUGGCGGCGUGCUUAACACAUGCCAGUCGAACGGUGAAGCGCCUUCCUUUUUGGUGGGUGUGGAUGAGUGGCGAACGGGUGAGUAACACGUGAGUAACCUGCCCCCUUCUUCUGGAUAACCGCAUGAAAGUGUGGCUAAUACGGGAUAUUCUGGGUCUGUCGCAUGAUGGGUCUGGGAAAGAUAUUGUUUCGGUGGGGGAUGGGCUCGCGGCCUAUCAGCUUGUUGGUGGGGUGAUGGCCUACCAAGGCGGUGACGGGUAGCCGGCCUGAGAGGGUGGACGGUCACACUGGGACUGAGACACGGCCCAGACUCCUACGGGAGGCAGCAGUGGGGAAUAUUGCACAAUGGGCGCAAGCCUGAUGCAGCGACGCCGCGUGAAGGAUGGAGGCCUUCGGGUUGUGAACCUCUUUCGCCAGUGAAGCAGGCCUGCCUCGUUUGUGGGUGGGUUGACGGUAGCUGGAUAAGAAGCGCCGGCUAACUACGUG